UAGGGAAUCUUCCGCAAUGGGCGAAAGCCUGACGGAGCAACGCCGCGUGAGUGAUGAAGGUCUUCGGAUCGUAAAACUCUGUUAUUAGGGAAGAACAAAUGUGUAAGUAACUAUGCACGUCUUGACGGUACCUAAUCAGAAAGCCACGGCUAACUACGUGCCAGCAGCCGCGGUAAUACGUAGGUGGCAAGCGUUAUCCGGAAUUAUUGGGCGUAAAGCGCGCGUAGGCGGUUUUUUAAGUCUGAUGUGAAAGCCCACGGCUCAACCGUGGAGGGUCAAUGGAAACUGGAAAACUUGAGUGCAGAAGAGGAAAGUGGAAUUCCAUGUGUAGCGGUGAAAUGCGCAGAGAUAUGGGGGAACACCAGUGGCGAAGGCGACUUUCAGGUCUGUAACUGACGCUGAUGUGCGAAAGCGUGGGGAUCAAACAGG
rnacentral:rRNA from 1 species